GCCCGGAUGGCACAAUGGUACUGCGCCGGUCUCGAGAACCGGUUUCCUUCGGGAUUUCCAGGUUCGAUUCCUGGUCCGGGCG
rnacentral:tRNA from 1 species